rnacentral:rRNA from 1 species
GACGUAGGGCGCGAGCGUUGUCCGGAUUUAUUGGGCGUAAAGAGCUCGUAGGCGGCUUGUUGCGUCGACUGUGAAAACCUGCGGCUCAACCGUGUGGUCUGCAGUCGAUACGGGCAGGCUGGAGUUCGGUAGGGGAGACUGGAAUUCCUGGUGUAGCGGUGAAAUGCGCAGAUAUCAGGAGGAACACCGGUGGCGAAGGCGACUACCUGGCCUGUUCUUGACGCUGAGGCGCGAAAGCUAGGGGAGCAAACGGG